rnacentral:rRNA from 1 species
AACGAACGCUGGCGGCAUGCCUAACACAUGCAAGUCGAACGAGACCUUCGGGUCUCGUGGCGCACGGGUGCGUAACGCGUGGGAACCUGCCCUUAGGUUCGGAAUAACUCCCCGAAAGGGGUGCUAAUACCGGAUAAUGUCUUCGGACCAAAGAUUUAUCGCCUUUGGAUGGGCCCGCGUUGGAUUAGCUAGUUGGUAGGGUAAAAGCCUACCAAGGCGACGAUCCAUAGCUGGUCUGAGAGGAUGAUCAGCCACACUGGGACUGAGACACGGCCCAGACUCCUACGGGAGGCAGCAGUGGGGAAUAUUGGACAAGGGGCGAAAGCCUGAUCCAGCAAUGCCGCGUGAGUGAUGAAGGCCUUAGGGUUGUAAAGCUCUUUUACCCGGGAUGAUAAUGACAGUACCGGGAGAAUAAGCUCCGGCUAACUCCGUG